rnacentral:pre_miRNA from 1 species
AGACUUCAGCUCCUGAUCCAAAACCCACUGAAGUCAAUAGAGUCUUUCCAUUUACUUCAAUGGGCUUUGGAUCAGGCCCUUAAUCU